CACGCCGUAAACGUUGGGAACUAGAUGUGGGGGCCAUUCCACGGCUUCCGUGUCGCAGCUAACGCAUUAAGUUCCCCGCCUGGGGAGUACGGCCGCAAGGCUAAAACUCAAAGGAAUUGACGGGGGCCCGCACAAGCGGCGGAGCAUGCGGAUUAAUUCGAUGCAACGCGAAGAACCUUACCAAGGCUUGACAUAUACGAGAACGCUGCAGAAAUGUAGAACUCUUUGGACACUCGUAUACAGGUGG
rnacentral:rRNA from 1 species